rnacentral:lncRNA from 1 species
GGGCGUAGAAUGGGCCUCGCUGGUCUUUCUCUUACAUAACAUAACAUAACAUGGUCCAACUGUGCCAGGGGCGUAGAAUGGGCCUCACUGGUCUUCCGUACCGUAUCAUCAUCAUCAUAACAUAUGGGGACUAAAGGAUCAUUCAACAUUCAUCCACAUCAUCAACAUAUUAUGCAAUGCAACAUAUUCGUGAGUCUAAUGCAAACACCCUAU